rnacentral:rRNA from 1 species
GACGAACGCUGGCGGCGUGCUUAACACAUGCAAGUCGAACGGAAAGGCCCUGCUUUUGUGGGGUGCUCGAGUGGCGAACGGGUGAGUAACACGUGAGUAACCUGCCCUUGACUUUGGGAUAACUUCAGGAAACUGGGGCUAAUACCGGAUAGGAGCUCCUGCUGCAUGGUGGGGGUUGGAAGGUUUCGGCGGUUGGGGAUGGACUCGCGGGUUAUCAGCUUGUUGGUGGGGUAGUGGCUUACCAAGGCUUUGACGGGUAGCCGGCCUGAGAGGGUGACCGGCCACAUUGGGACUGAGAUACGGCCCAGACUCCUACGGGAGGCAGCAGUGGGGAAUAUUGCACAAUGGGCGGAAGCCUGAUGCAGCAACGCCGCGUGCGGGAUGACGGCCUUCGGGUUGUAAACCGCUUUCGCCUGUGACGAAGCGUGAGUGACGGUAAUGGGUAAAGAAGCACCGGCUAACUACGUG